rnacentral:rRNA from 1 species
CCUACGGGACGCAUCAGUGGGGAAUAUUUCACAAUGUGUGCCACCCUGAUGCAGCGACGCCGCGUGAGCGAUGAAGUAUUUCGGUAUGUAAAGCUCUAUCAGCAGGGAAGAAAAUGACGGUACCUGACUAAGAAGCCCCGGCUAACUACGUGCAAGCAGCCGCGGUAAUACGUAGGGGGCAAGCGUUAUCCGGAUUUACUGGGUGUAAAGGGAGCGUAGACGGUCCUGCAAGCCAGAUGUGAAAGCCCGGGGCUCAACCCCCGGGACUGCAUUUGGAACUGUAAGGCUAGAGUGUCGGAGAGGCG